UUUAUAUGAGAGUUUGAUCCUGGCUCAGGAUGAACGCCGGCGGUGUGCCUAAUACAUGCAAGUCGAGCGCACUGGCCCAACUGAUAUGACGUGCUUGCACUGAAUUGACGUUGGAUUACCAGUGAGCGGCGGACGGGUGAGUAACACGUGGGCAACCUGCCCUGAAGUGGGGGAUAACAUCUGGAAACAGGUGCUAAUACCGCAUAACAACGAAAACCACAUG
rnacentral:rRNA from 1 species